CAGACUCUAUCGUAUACCCAAGGGUACUGGAUAAUUACCUCGUUGCAUUUUUUUUAUGAUUGAAUUUUCCGGCCAACUUUUCUACACAGUCAUCAUGAACACUGAAUCAGUUGUCGAGUUCCUUGGGAAUGUACCCUUGUUGCAGCGGUUACCUAGUUCUUCUCUGAAGAGAAUCGCUGAAGUUGUUGUCUUCAAACGUUAUGAGAGAGGUGAUUAUGUGGUUCGUAAAAAUCAGGAUGUGGAUGGAGUUUAUUUUCUCUUGGAAGGACAGGCUCAGGUUCUGAGAUCAGCUGGAGAGGAAGACUCUCAACAGUUCCUUUUGAAACGAUUUGAUUUCUUCGGCCCUGGUAUUUUUGGGGAUGUUUACUCAGCAGAUGUUGUUGCAGUCUCAGAGCUCACCUGUUUACUGUUCAUGUCUGAUCAUCGUGCUUUGCUUGAGACAAAGUCAGUCUCGGAUUCAGAUAACCAACCCUGUCUUGUGGAACACAUAUUGUAUCUAGAACCAUUAGAUUUGAAUGUAUUUCGGGGGUUCACUCCACCCAAUGCUCCAACCUAUGGAAAGGUUUAUGGAGGGCAGUUAGUUGGACAGGCACUCGCCGCAGCAUCAAAAACUGUUGAAAAUAUGAAGAUAGUCCAUAAUUUACAUUCCUAUUUCCUUCUUGUUGGAGAGAUAAAUAUUCCCAUCAUAUUUGAAGUUAUCCGCUUACGUGACGGCAACAACUUUGCCACCAGAAGAGUAGAUGCUAGACAGAAAGGAAAAACCAUAUUCAUCUUGUUCGCGUCAUUUCAGAGAAAGCAACAAGGUUUUAUUCACCAGGAGUCGAUCAUGCCUCAUACACCAGCUCCUGAAAUGCUUCUACCAAGGGAGGAGAUGCUUGAGCGGCGUAUAACUGACCCUCUUCUACCUAGGGAUUACCGAAACAAAGUUGCAAUUGAAAUUAAUGCUUCAUUCCCUAUAGAUAUUCGAUUUUGUGAGCCAAAUUAUUCUACAGAACAGACAAAGUCUCCUCCAAGACUGAAAUAUUGGUUUAGAGCAAAGGGAAAACUUUCUGAUGCUGAUCAAGCUUUGCACAGUCUUUCUGAUUGUCUUACGCCCGCCAUUGUUACACAGAUGUGUGGUUGCGUAUGCUUCAGAUUUGAUAUUCGCCUCUAUCAGUUUAAACCCUCACCGCAGAGAGGGCAUGAGUGUAGCUGCUCUUAGCCUGGACCACUCGAUGUGGUUCCACCGACCUCUAAGAGCUGAUGAUUGGUUGUUGUUUGUGAUAGUGAGUCCAAUCGCGUCCGAAAGCCGCGGUUUUGCCACUGGCAAAAUGUUCAACAGAAAGGGAGAGCUGGUGGUAUCAUUGACGCAAGAAGCUGUGCUAAGAGAAGCUGUGACUAUAAAGCCCUCCUUCGGCGCGAAGCUCUGAAGUCAUAGUAUUGAUAGUGAGAAAAUGGCUGCAUCUAUUAUACCUCACGGUCACAUUCCAAAGAGUCGUCAGGAAGUACAUCUACAAAUGGUUUUUGAUUUCACAAUUAUUUUUCCCCUCUAAAAGGGUCUACACAUGUUUUGUUUGUUUGUUGUAAAACCCCGAUAAAUAAUGAUUUCAACAAUAAUGGAAGAGCAAAUUGGGUGGAUUAA